UGCCAGCAGCCGCGGUAAUACGGAGGGUGCAAGCGUUGUUCGGAAUUAUUGGGCGUAAAGGGCGCGCAGGCGGUCUUGUCCGUCAGGUGUGAAAGCUCGGGGCUCAACCCCGGAAGUGCACUUGAAACAGCAAGACUUGAAUACGGUAGAGGAGAGAGGAAUUCCUGGUGUAGAGGUGAAAUUCGUAGAUAUCAGGAGGAACAACAGAGGCGAAGGCGGCUCUCUGGACAGUUACUGACGCUGAGGUGCGAAAGCGUGGGGAGCAAACAGGAUUAGAUA
rnacentral:rRNA from 1 species